rnacentral:lncRNA from 1 species
UUUUUUUUCUUUUUCUUUUGGUAGAGACAAGGUCCUGCUAUGUUGCCCAGGCUUGUCUUGAAUUCCUGGCCUCAAGAGAUCCUCCCCCUCCGCGGUAUCCCAAAGCAGUGGGAUUACAGGCAUGAACCACCUCACCUGGCCUCCUGUAAUCUUAACUUCUAUCCAAGCCCUACUCACAGAGGAAUCUGUGUUGAACCAAGAUGCUUCAUGAAACAGCCCCACUGAGCUCCCAGCAGAUGCUAGCACCAUUCAUCAUCCAU